rnacentral:rRNA from 1 species
UACGUAGGGUGCGAGCGUUGUUCGGAAUUACUGGGCGUAAAGGGCUCGUAGGUGGCCAACUAAGUCAGACGUGAAAUCCCCAGGCUUAACUUGGGAACUGCGUCUGAUACUGGGAGGCUUGAGUGCGGGAGAGGGAUGUGGAAUUCCAGGUGUAGCGGUGAAAUGCGUAGAUAUCUGGAGGAACACCGGUGGCGAAGGCGGCAUCCUGGACCGACACUGACGCUGAGGCGCGAAAGCUAGGGGAGCAAACGGG